rnacentral:rRNA from 1 species
AGAUUGAACGCUGGCGGCAUGCCUUACACAUGCAAGUCGAACGGCAGCACGGGAGCAAUCCUGGUGGCGAGUGGCGAACGGGUGAGUAAUAUAUCGGAACGUGCCCAGUCGUGGGGGAUAACGCAGCGAAAGCUGUGCUAAUACCGCAUACGAUCUAUGGAUGAAAGCGGGGAUCGCAAGACCUGCGCGAUUGGAGCGGCCGAUAUCAGAUUAGCUAGUUGGUGGGUAAAAGCCUACCAAGGCGACGAUCUGUAGCUGGUCUGAGAGGACACCAGCCACACUGGAACUGAGACACCGGUCAGACUCCGUACGGGAGCAGCAGGUGGGAAUUUGGACAAGUGGCG